UACGGAUGAGGCAAGCGUUAUCCGGAAUUAUUGGGCGUAAAGCGUCCGCAGGUGGCACUUCAAGUCUGUCGUCAAAGACUGGGGCUUAACCCUGGAAAGGCGGUGGAAACUGAAGCGCUAGAGUGCGGUAGGGGUAGAGGGAAUUCCCGGUGUAGCGGUGAAAUGCGUAGAUAUUGGGAGGAACACCAGUGGCGAAGGCGGCUCGCUGGACCGGUUCUGACGCUGAUGCGCGAAAGCGUGGGGAGCAAACGGG
rnacentral:rRNA from 1 species